rnacentral:misc_RNA from 1 species
GCAUGCUCAUCUACAGAAACGCCGCUUGGCCUUUGGACUACACCAUCUGUCGCUCGCUCUAACGAGCCGGCGUUGCCGCCAGGGGACGCUCGGGCCGCAGGAGGUCGCUGGGUCGUGAGCUGGCGCCGGGGACGCCGAGCGACUGCGGGGUUUCCCUCAGCGUCCUGCUAUCCGGCUGCCCGCCGCGCUCCUUGGUAGUGUCCGUGGGCGCGCAGGCCUUGAAGAACCUCCUCGUGGCGGGACCCCGAGCGCAGGAGAGGUGUCAAAGAGCUGGCGCGUCUCCAGAGCCCCGGGAGGAAGGCUGUAACGGCAGCCCCAUCGUAGACAGGGACAUUCGCAUCCCGAGCCCUGGAUCUCUGAAAACCAGCCCAGAAUUUGGAAGCUGGAAGGAACUUUAGAUCGUCCAUUCUGAGUGUCUCUCUUCGCUGGCGUUUUCCCACUGAGGUUAUGUAAACAUGAAGAGGAGCCUACAAGUGUCAAGGAAAAAACGACAGCUAACCACAGGGCAGGCCAUGGGCAAGAUAUCUCAGUGUUCUCCGCUCUCAUAGGUCAGAGUGAGACUCACCUAGGCUGGACUGCAAUGGUGCAAUCUCGGCUCACUGCAACCUCCGCCUCUCAUGUUCAAGCCAUUCUCCUGCCUCAGCUUUCCGAAUCGCUGGGAUUACAGGUCACGACCCCCAGGAGACCUGGAGGACUGAAUGCUGCUGCCCCCAAGGAGGAGGCUGCUGUCUUAUCCCAGGAGGGAGAGCAGGUGAAGUCCCCAGGGGAGGAAGCACCUAGCCCCAUUCCUGCUGAGCAGGAGGUGGCAGGUACCCCAGACUGGGAGGUAAGGACAGCCCGGGGCUUCGACUGAACGUCUCCAGCGUGGGUCCAACUGAGCAGCCAUGGAGCACUGCAGAGUGGGAGGCAGCAGGGCAGGGAGGCAGUGCUGGAGGCUGGCUCAACCCCAAGACCAGCAGGCCAAGCUGCCAUCCCAGGGGAGCGAGGACGUCUGUGCAGAGCUGAGAGGCAGCAGCCAUGUGUGAACAGACUGGGCCUCAUCCUGGCCCCACCGACUUUGUGUGGACAGAGCCUGUUUCCCUGUCUGUGCAACACAGAACCUGCCUGAUCUCACUGCUGGAUCCCUCUUCUUCCUGCCAGGAAAAUAAAAAGGUUCAAAAGGAAGUUGCUGCGUAUCCAUCUGAGGCCUCUGAGGACAGCAAAGAGCAAAGGCCCUGGGACCGGGUCUACGUGCCCAUGACAGAGCUCUGGCUGGACUGGUUCUGAGCCUCUAACACCCCCAAGACUCAGAACCGUGAAGAAAAUCUUUCCAAUAAAUCCAAGAGUUGCUGCUGCUAUAGGCCAGGCUGCCACCUUUCGGGGCCUCCGUCUUCAGACAAACCCAGCCUGGCUUCAUCCACACUCCCUGUCCCCACAGCUGCAGGAACAGCACUUCCUGCCACCGAGCCGUGUGACCACAGUGGAUUGUCUCUGGAGGGGCCCAAGGGGGCCCUGGCCACCCUUCUGACUGACUCGGUGCCAGGGGACAGACCAACGUCCCUCUCGUGCUGACAGCCGGGCCGCACCCUGGCAUGAGGGCAUUUACAGAAAUGCUGGCGGAACUGCUGCCAGGGAGGCUGUAGGGUCCUCUGGCAAAAGAGGCCUCAGGUGGCUCCUCAGAGUGUCUGUGGUUCUCUGUCCCAGGCUGUUCCCUAAGAAGGUCUGCCCAGGACUCAGGUCACGACCCCCAGGAGACCUGGAGGACUGAAUGCUGCUGCCCCCAAGGAGGAGGCUGCUGUCUUAUCCCAGGAGGGAGAGCAGGUGAAGUCCCCAGGGGAGGAAGCACCUAGCCCCAUUCCUGCUGAGCAGGAGGUGGCAGGUACCCCAGACUGGGAGGUAAGGACAGCCCGGGGCUUCGACUGAACGUCUCCAGCGUGGGUCCAACUGAGCAGCCAUGGAGCACUGCAGAGUGGGAGGCAGCAGGGCAGGGAGGCAGUGCUGGAGGCUGGCUCAACCCCAAGACCAGCAGGCCAAGCUGCCAUCCCAGGGGAGCGAGGACGUCUGUGCAGAGCUGAGAGGCAGCAGCCAUGUGUGAACAGACUGGGCCUCAUCCUGGCCCCACCGACUUUGUGUGGACAGAGCCUGUUUCCCUGUCUGUGCAACACAGAACCUGCCUGAUCUCACUGCUGGAUCCCUCUUCUUCCUGCCAGGAAAAUAAAAAGGUUCAAAAGG